rnacentral:rRNA from 1 species
AUGGCGGCAAAGGGGAGCAAGAAGGACAUCGAAACCGUCCUCAUGCAGGCCAUGCUGGCUGCCAAGACGGUGCGGGCGCAGCGCGACCGCCUCCUGCAGCUCCAGCAGCGCAUGCAGGACCUCCAGGCCGACGCCGCCCCUGCCGACGUCGAGGCGGACGCGGACGCCAAGCUCAGGGAGCUCGCCUCCAACCUCUUCAAGGUCUACUACAUCGGCCUGGAGGCCGGCGCCCGCAUCCUCACGACCUGCAUCCACCUCGCCGAGGAGAAGCGCAUUCUCUUCUCCCCGCCCAACCUGGCUUUCGCAGUCAUGCCCGACGAGCAGCUCCACGACGCGCUGCUCGCGCAGCAGUUCCCGGCCCGACCAGGUCCCAGGCCCAGGCCAUCGACCGCGUCAUGGCCGCCGUCUUGGCCAUCAAGCUGCUGGAGGAGCACCUCCUCCCGCGCUGCGUCGAGUGCCUCAUCGGCGGCAAGGCCCCCGUCCCCGGCAAGACCCCCGACUCCUCGCCCGACAGCAGCCCCGACAGGGACGACGACCCGGUCGCCGCCGCCUCCGAGGCCCUCGCCAAGGUCGACCUCUCCGACGACCCGUACGCCACCGCCAAGCCCGGCCCCAGCAAGCCCCGCCAGGCAGCCAGAGGCGGCGGCGGCGGCGACGUGA